CGGAGGGAUCAUUACUGAGUUACCGCUCUAUAACCCUUUGUGAACAUACCUACAACUGUUGCUUCGGCGGGUAGGCCGUCCCCUGAAAAGGACGCCUCCCGGCCCGGACCGGACCCCCCGCGGGACCGGACCCGGCGCCCGCCGGAGGAUAACCAAACUCUAUUGUAACGACGUUUCUUCUGAGUGGCAUAAGCAAAAUAAUCAAAACUUUUAACAACGGAUCUCUUGGUUCUGGCAUCGAUGAAGAACGCAGCGAAAUGCGAUAAGUAAUGUGAAUUGCAGAAUUCAGUGAAUCAUCGAAUCUUUGAACGCACAUUGCGCCCGCCAGCAUUCUGGCGGGCAUGCCUGUUCGAGCGUCAUUUCAACCCUCAAGCUCUGCUUGGUGUUGGGGCUCUACGGUCGACGUAGGCCCUCAAAGGUAGUGGCGGACCCUCCCGGAGCCUCCUUUGCGUAGUAACAUUUCGUCUCGCACUGGGAUCCGGAGGGACUCUUGCCGUAAAACCCCCCAAUUUUCCAAAGGUUGACCUCGGAUCAGGUAGGAAUACCCGCUGAACUUAAGCAUAUCAU
rnacentral:rRNA from 1 species